rnacentral:rRNA from 1 species
UACGAAGGGGGCUAGCGUUGUUCGGAAUCACUGGGCGUAAAGGGCGCGUAGGCGGCCGGUCAAGUCGGGGGUGAAAGCCUGUGGCUCAACCACAGAAUUGCCUUCGAUACUGUUUGGCUUGAGACCGGAAGAGGUAAGUGGAACUGCGAGUGUAGAGGUGAAAUUCGUAGAUAUUCGGAAGAACACCAGUGGCGAAGGCGACGAUCUGGGUUAUAACUGACGCUGAGGCGCGAAAGCGUGGGGAGCAAACAGG